AAAUCAGACUUAGUGUUUAUCAUUUAUAUAACAAAGUUGAUUUAGACCUUUUCAUUCAUGCUAAACCAUCGGUAGUAAUAAUGAUAAUACUAACAUACUUCCAACUUUCGGUCUUAAUUACUAUAUUUGAUUUGUCAUAUGUUAAUAAACAAGUAUUAGGAUGAAUAGUACAACACUUUUUAUUUUUAAGUAUUAGGAUCAAAUAUUCGAAGGACUUUGAUUUUGACAUAAUUUUUCGUUAUUGCCGUGUAAUUUGAGUAAAAAAACAUACAUAUGAUGAUAUUAAAGUUAAAUCUACACUUAUGGAGAAAAUUUUCCGUCAUUGUGGAAAAAAUUUUACAUUGGUGACAAUAUUCCAACUCAGAUAUACACUCAGAAAUUAGUGGAAGCAUGCCAAAAUUUGGAUUGUCCUUCGUACCAUCGACUGAUAAAGCAAAAUAUAUUAAUUUUUCAGACUAAAUUAUUUUAACAUCUAUGGCUUUACUCUUCUCCAAGUCUUUUUAAGUGCUAGGUUUCAUUUCCUCGCAAUUCACAUCAGGGUAAAUUAUUUUUCUGACAAUAUAUAGAUACAGUCUUAACUGUUCAUUGUUGUGCAGUUUGAGAAUGAAGUUGCUAGUGUUGGUGAUGAUUGUUGUUGGAUUAAUCAUAUUUAGUGUUGAAGCUGAAGGAAGGAAAGAACAAAUUAGCAGUUGGAGGACUAUCAAAUUUGUUAUUAUAUGUAAUAGGAAGUCAAUCACCCAGAGUCAAUACGAUCUAUAUUUUAAUUUAGUUGAUUGAGCAUUAUUGUGGAGACUGGAGGAAAUUUACAUUGAUACAGGAAUUAGUGGAAGAUUGCAAAAAUGAUUGGCCUUCAGGAUUGACUUAGACUAAUCAAGCAAAGAAAAAAUGUUUUUUAGUACUAAGUAGUUACUUUCCUUGAAAAUGCAUUUUGAAGAAAAGAUGUCACUCCAAGUAUUUAAGCACUAGACUUCAUCACCUCUACCUUCAUCAAGUUAUUUUAAAACCACCAAGGCAAAAGCAUCAACAUAGAUACAGAAAUUAUCAUGAAGAGUUUGAACAUGAAGCUGGUAAUCCUAGUCUUGAUUGUUGUUGGAUCAAUCUCAUUCUGCGUUGAAGCUCAAGGAAGAAAAGAAAAAAUUAGCUAUUGGGGCACUAGCAGAAUGCUAUAUGAAGAGGGAAAAAAACACAUCAUGGUAAAGUUGAAAAAAGAUGAAAACUUGCUACUUGGUUUGAGGCCAAAGAGACUUGUGCGUGCUAAAUCUGGUGCCUCCGUUAGUAUCUCUAUACCCGGCGGACAUGGUUGAUUAUGUAUUCGAGAGAACAAGAAGAAGAAGAAGAAGAAGAAGAUAGGGAAGCUUGUAUUCAAAUUUUUUGAGAUUUAUUUCUCAAAAAAAAUUAUAAAUUUCCUAAAUAUUAAUGAAAUAAGAAUGUUUUAUGCUU